CAGUCACAUCACGUUGAAAUAUUGGUUCCCCUAUGAUCACUGAAGUUAAGCAACAUCCACCUAGGUCAGUACCUAAAUGGGUGACCACUUGGGAAUACCAGGUAGUGUAA